rnacentral:rRNA from 1 species
AUGGUUGAUUUUGAAGAAGAUGAGGUUGAUGAAGAAGAUGUUGACUAUGAAGAAGAAGAGGAAGGAGAAGAAAAUGAGGAUGAUGAAGAAGAAGAUGAUGAUGAAGAAGAAGAACAAGAGGGAGAUAAUGUGGAUGAAGAGGGAGAGGUUGAGAUCAUUGACAUGGGAAAAUUUUUUGAACCGGGAAGAAAGUUUUUGUCUAAAGUGUGGAAAGAAUAUGAGCCAAUCCGUGUUGAUGACAUAGUUGUAGCUGUUGAGUGCAAACACUGUGCAAGGAAUAUUUGUGCUGAGCGUAAACAUGGAACAAGUUCAUUGCGCAAACAUUUGAAGAGAUGCAGGGAAAGGAAGAAGGUUCUUAGAGUUUCUGGACAACUGAGUGCUUCUAUCGUGAGUCCCGAUGGAGUUGCAAUGGGGCUUUGGACCUUUAAUCAGGCAUUAGCACGCCGAGAGCUGAUGAGGAUGAUAGUGUUGCAUGAAUUGGCAUUCUCAUUGGUGGAGUAUGAUGGAUUUAGAAGAUUUGUCUCUAGUCUAAAUCCCAGCUUCAAGAUGAUAUGUAGAAAAACAGUGAAGGAGGACUGCAUGAAAGCAUUCAAGGAAGAGAAGAGAAUUCUGCAAAGGAUGUUCCAAAACUCCAAAUCCAAGAUUUCUUUGACCACAGACCUGUGGACAUCAAAUCAGACAGUGGGGUACAUUUGCAUCACAACUCACUUCAUUGAUGAGGAGUGGAAGCAGCAGAAGAGGAUAGUUAAAUUUGCCGCUAUGGAGACGCCGCACACAGGAGCUGCAAUGUUCAACAUCAUGGUGAAUUUCAUAAGAGAGUGGAACAUUGAAGAUAAUCUCUUUGCUGUGACGCUAGACAAUGCAUCGAAUAAUGGUGCAAUGAUGAAGCUAUUGAAGGCACAUCUCCUGCUUAAGAAGAUGUUACCUGGUGGUGGCAAGUUGUUUCACCAACGUUGUGCCGCCCAUGUCAUAAAUCUGAUAUGUCAAGCAGGAUUGAACUUCCUUGGUACAGUGAUCAACAUGAUAUGUGAAACUGUGAAAUACAUUCGAAGCUCACCAAGUCGAAAGGAAAAACUUCAAGAAAUCGUUGAGCAACAUGGUGUAUCAUGUGGGAGAACUCCAAGUCUUGAUGUUCCAACUCGCUGGAACUCAACCUACAUGAUGAUUGAUAUAGCAAAAGAGUAUCGCGGAGUGUUUGACUCUUUGGCCAUUCAAGAUAAACAAUAUACCUUCAAGCCAUCUUUUGAGGAUUGGGAAAAUGCCGAAUAUGUUUGCAGGCUACUAAAGCUAACCUUAGAGCAACAACAUUAUGAAGAGGAUUCUGAGAUGGGCACAACGGUCAAAUAUAUGAAGAGAAAAUUCAGAAGAUAUUGGAAGAUGACAUGGUUGAGCCUUUUUAUUCCAGUGAUUUUGGACCCACAAUUCAAGUUAAAAUAUAUUGAGUUCUGA